GGACGGGCGUGCAGAGCAGCUCCUUUGGCAGGUCCGGGAUGCCCUUGAGGUAGAAAGUGUAGAAGAUCUUGAAGGGGAAGACGAUCUGGUUGAGCUUGACCUGCCCGUAGACGCCCUCGAAGACGCCGGAGCCUCCUGUGACGGCGAGGUAGGACUCCUCGUAGGUGAGGUAGGGCCCCUGCAGGCUGAUGUGGCCGUAGUCGCCGAAGUACAUGCUGUAGAUGGCCUCGUAGCGGUCGCCGUUGCGCUCCGGCACGUGCUGGAUCAGGAUGCAGAUCCCCGCCGUGAUCCCGAUCCGCUUGUCCAGGCUCCCGUUGU
rnacentral:lncRNA from 1 species